CCUACGGGCGGCAGCAGUGGGGAAUAUUGGGCAAUGGGCGCAAGCCUGACCCAGCAACGCCGCGUGAAGGAUGAAGGCUUUCGGGUUGUAAACUUCUUUUAAGAGGGAAGAGCAGAAGACGGUACCUCUUGAAUAAGCCACGGCUAACUAUGUGCCAGCAGCCGCGGUAAUACGUAGGUGGCAAGCGUUGUCCGGAGUUACUGGGGGUAAAGGGCGUGCAGCCGGGAAGACAAGUCAGAUGUGAAAUCCCGCGGCUCAACCGCGGAACUGCAUUUGAAACUGUUUUUCUUGAGUACCGGAGAGGUCAUCGGAAUUCCUUGUGUAGCGGUGAAAUGCGUAGAUAUAAGGAAGAACACCAGUGGCGAAGGCAGAUGACUGGGCGUCUACUGAUGGUGAGGCACGAAAGCGUGGGGAGCAAACAGGAUUAGAUACCCCUGUAGUC
rnacentral:rRNA from 1 species